AUUAGAACUCUGCAGUAAAGCGUGCUCAUGCUAAAGUAGAACUGGGAUGGGUGACUGCCCAGGAAGUCCUAGUGUUUUACAUG
rnacentral:rRNA from 1 species